rnacentral:tRNA from 1 species
ACUGAUAUAGCUCAGUUGGUAGAGUGCUUGCAUUACAUGCACACAGCACUGGGUUCAAUUCCCAGUACCAAAA